UACGGAGGGUGCAAGCGUUAUCCGGAUUUACUGGGUUUAAAGGGUGUGUAGGCGGGCUUUUAAGUCAGUGGUGAAAUCUCCGGGCUCAACCCGGAAACUGCCAUUGAUACUAUUAGUCUUGAAUUCUGUUGAGGUAGGCGGAAUAAGUCAUGUAGCGGUGAAAUGCAUAGAUAUGACUUAGAACACCAAUUGCGAAGGCAGCUUACUAAACAGAUAUUGACGCUGAGGCACGAAAGCGUGGGGAUCAAACAGG
rnacentral:rRNA from 1 species